AGAGAGAACAAUCAUUUUCUUUCCCUUGCAGGAAAGACCAUAUUUAAUACUGUGAUAUUAACUAAAAGGAACUCCAUGAAAUGCUGCUCCAGUUUUAUGAUCUUGCUAAACUCUGGAGAYCACUGGAAGUGGGAAUUUCAGAAAAUAGGAAGUAUAUAUUUAAAAUACACGUCUGACUAGAAUGCGUGAUGGUGUUAUGUCUGCGCUCACUGCAACUCAGGGAAAAAAAAACCUUCAUAAAAAUACGUCCUUAAUAUCUGACCGACAUGUUUGUAUUGAAGAGCUGGAAGGUAUAGACCUGAAGAAGAAAGGCCAAAAAUCAGCAGCUUCUCCUCCCUCUCUCAAAAUUGAGCCCAAAAAGCAAUUAAUGAAAACAGGAAGACAAUAAUCUAUAGGCAACACUAAUACCGGCUUCUUAGGAAAGAGAAGAUGACGAGAACCAUAAAUGAUUUUUCCUUGAACUCUGGAAGUAUUAAGAGAUCCCCUCUCUGUGCUUUUGCAAAGGGCCAUUGGCCACAGGAAUGGGCCAGGUCGUCAGCCAGCGUAAAGAAGUACGAAUGCCAAUUUUGCCGAAAUGAAAAUGCAGCAUCCAAUGUGUGCACAGGCUACCUGGGGAGAGGGCAGGAACGUUUUCGUCAUCCACAUUGAGAACGAGCAGAAACAUUUUCUCAGGCUUCUCUAGGAAUACUUUAUAAUGGUGAAGUAUCAAUUUAUUCCUUUUGACAGAAGUUGCUCAACUGUUCCAAUGGUCAUUUAUAGGGAUAUAUUUUUUUUCAAUUACUUGUUGACUGAGAGCAUAGAAAUCCAGCAKUUUUCUCUUUGCAGUGCCAGGGCAGUUCCUGUUUAUUUCUGCUGAUAUUUUAUGUUCAAAAAACCUGCAAAUCUCUAAUUAAAAAAAAGUCAAAAUGCAWGAUUAAUUACAGAUCAAGAGUAUUUUGAAAGCAGGAAAGAAAAUAAACAACUCUGGUAAAGUGAACA
rnacentral:lncRNA from 1 species